UACGGGGGGGGCAAGCGUUGUUCGGAAUUACUGGGCGUAAAGGGCUCGUAGGCGGCCAACUAAGUCGGAUGUGAAAUCCCCAGGCUCAACCUGGGAACUGCAUCCGAUACUGGAUGGCUUGAAUUCGGGAGAGGGAUGCAGAAUUCCAGGUGUAGCGGUGAAAUGCGUAGAUAUCUGGAGGAACACCGGUGGCGAAGGCGGGUCUCUGGGCCGAUCCUGACGCUGAGGAGCGAAAGCGUGGGGAGCGAACAGG
rnacentral:rRNA from 1 species